GACGAACGCUGGCGGCGUGCCUAAUACAUGCAAGUAGAACGCACAGUUUAUACCGUAGCUUGCUACACCAUAAACUGUGAGUUGCGAACGGGUGAGUAACGCGUAGGUAACCUGCCUGGUAGCGGGGGAUAACUAUUGGAAACGAUAGCUAAUACCGCAUAAUAUUGAUUAUUGCAUGAUAAUUGAUUGAAAGAUGCUAUUGCAUCACUACCAGAUGGACCUGCGUUGUAUUAGCUAGUAGGUGAGGUAACGGCUCACCUAGGCGACGAUACAUAGCCGAACUGAGAGGGUGAUCCGCCACACUGGGACUGAGACACGGCCCAGACUCCUACGGGAGGCAGCAGUAGGGAAUCUUCGGCAAUGGACGAAAGUCUGACCGAGCAACGCCGCGUGAGUGAAGAAGGGUUUCGGAUCGUAAAGCUCUGUUGUAAGAGAAGAACGGGUGUGAGAGUGGAAAGUUCACACUGUGACGGUAUCUUACCAGAAAGGGACGGCUAACUACGUG
rnacentral:rRNA from 1 species